ACCUUAAACGUUUGUUUGUGGAACGCCAUUAUACCAAAGAAGAAGAUGUGUGAAUUUGGAACAGCAACGUGCUCGAUACUCCAUUCCAAACACUUUAAAAAACAUGUUGUACCUCAAUCUGGCAUUGGAUAUCGGUUACCCGGGGACAGUCACAGGUAAUGAAGAAAAACAAAUUCCUCGACUUGUAAAGACAAUUCCACAUCAUCUGCGGUGGUGAAACGUGGUACCACUAAAAACAAGUGGGGGAUCGAGUCUAGCUAACGUUAAUUAUUUUUGUUUUUGAUAUAUGGUGUCAUCACACUAAUUAAGAUCUUGAAUACAUCGUGACCUCCGAGGUUGUUUUCAAAAGACUGUCAAGGCCUUGAAUAUUCAUUGUUCAGUUUCGGCUCCGGGGGUGCCCUGUUGAGACUUGGAAGUGAAUUUGUGAAGAAACCUGAUUGGCGACAUGCCAAGAAGUAAAAAAGGGAAACGUAGUUCAAACAAGGGGGGGAGGAAUGGGGUGAAGGGUGGGUCUGGUGCCAGUGAUGAUGACCUGGCGUCUGAUGUGCUCAGUCACUACAGCAGUGCCAGCGAGAACGCCUCGGUGCUGGACGACAGCCCAGGAGCAGGUGAGCCACUAGAUGAACAGACUGCCCAGGAGGAGACCGAGGACAAGCUGAAACAAUGCAUAGACAACCUGAUGGACAAGAGUGCAAAGACACGCCUGGCAGCCCUGGAGUCUCUGAGAGGGGCCUUCUCAUCCAGGCUGCUCUGUGACUUCCUGACAGAGAGACGCCUCACCAUCAGCGACUGCCUGGAGAGGAGCCUGCGCAAGGGUGGUGGAGAGGAGCAGGCUGCAGCAGCCACAGUGUGUGCCCAGCUGUGUGUGCAGCUGGGCGGGGGGGACGAGAGCGAGGAGGGCUUCAAGAUCCUUCGACCCGUACUCAGCGCCAUCGUGAUUGACGGCUGUGCCAGUGUGGCCGCCCGCCAGAGUUGUGCCAGUGCUCUGGGUAUGUGCUGCUAUGUUUCUGCUGCGGAAGAUGGAGAGGACUUGGUCAAAUCCAUGAGUCACCUGGAAAGUGUGUUCACCACGUCGUACCCCAACUUUGAGGGCACCCUGCCCACCCCCAAGGCCGGUACCCCUGGGCUCCACAGCGCCGCCCUGCACGCUUGGGCUCUACUCGUCACCCUCUGCCCCGCCUCCCGCCUCACUGUGCUGCUAGACAUACAUCUACUCAAGUUACAGGCCUGCCUGGAGAGCAGCGAUGUUAACUACAGGAUUGCUGUCGGGGAAACCAUCGCCCUGCUGGUUGAACUGGGAAGAGAUAUAGACAGGGAAUUUGAAGACAGCGACAUGCUGUGUGAGUGCCUGAAAGGUCUGGCCACUGACGGGAACAAACACCGUGCCAAGAACGACAGGAGGAAACAGCGCUCCAUAUUCAGAGAGGUGCUGCACUACAUAGAGAAUGAGGACUUCACAGAAGAGAAGAUCCGCUUUGGUGUGGAGGGCAUCUACAUUGACAGCUGGAUGCGCAGGAGGGUCUACGAUGCCUUCAAAGAGGUGCUGGAGUCUGGAGUGAGACACCACCUUCAGGUUAGGACAAAUUCUAGGUCUAGAAGUGUUUGUGAGGUAAGUAUACUUUUUUACAGCAGAGAUAUCUGGUAUCUCUGCAACCAACAAUGUUCUAAUCAAAUGUCUGAAAGGGUUUUGAUGCUUGUUUGCCUAUGCUUUCUCAUGUAUCAUUUAGCAAUUGCUAAUAGUCAGCUUGUCAUUCUAUGAUAUUUAAGGGUGUGCCUGGUCUUGUCUAUGUAGUUUAAUCCGUUGCUGAGGGAUAUCUUUGGCCUGGGACCCCCUCUGAUUCUGGACUCCUCCGUCAAAGCCAGCAAGAUCUCCCGUUUCGAGAAGCAUCUGUUCAACUCAGCGGCCUUCAAAGCCAGGACUAAACUAAGGAACAAAGUGAGGGACAAGAGAGCAGAUGUGAUGUGAGGAAUGAAAGAGCGGAUUGGAGGAGAGGAAUUGAUGGAACGUGCCUUGGCCCCAUAGGAUGGAGACCCUGAGGAGAAGAAUACUGGGGUAUAUUUAUUGAAGUGAAAUGUUUGUAACGUUGCAGAUAGAAAUAUAGUGAAUAGAGCUGACAUGAUUUCCUUUUCCAAAUGACAAACAAUCCUAUCUGUUCUUCACAGUACAUUUCUAUAGGAAUGUUCUGUAACGUUACACCCUCUUGAAUAGGCCCCUUGCCCAAACUCAUCUCACAGGACACAAUGGCUGCUGCCAAACCAGGGACUUUGCAGACAAUGCAAACGCGUGUGCGCGCAUGUUUUUUUAUUUGUAAUUUAACACUACAUAAUAAAAUCAUGACACCUACGGGACGCCUGAAAAUCAAACAGAAAGGUGGUUUAUUGUAUCUUUUUAUUAAUAUUUUCGGAAGAAUAUCUUAACCAUUUCUUGUCAUGUACAGUAUUUGAUUUUCUCAUUUAUUGAAAGUGGGAGAACAGUACAUAGAUUUUUAAAAGAAGUUCUGUUUACAGACUUCAGAUAUGGGAAGAGGACAAGGAAUGUAAGUUUGGGUGUUUUCAUGUAUAUUUUUAUGCUGGUUGGUUGUGCAUAUAAUCUAUACAUGUAAACUGAACAACAAUAUAAAAGCAACAUGUCGUGUUGGUCCUGUGUUUCAUGAGCUGAAAUAAAAGAUCCUAGAAAGGGC